UAGUUUCUCAGCGGGAGGCUGGACUAUCUGGGUAACGGUUUGAUUUAUUUGUUUAGUAUUGAUAUUAUUGUUUAGUAGUUAGUAGUAAGGGUCUUAGGCCAUAUAGGCCGGACUACUGGUACUAUUAGUUUGUGUUGUAGAGUCGAGUGUCUAGUUAGGAUCUGGAACUUUAGCCUUAGGUUAGGUUCUAGAUUGAGUUUGUUUUGUUGUGAGUGUGCCGACAGUAUGUGCGUGACCCGCCCAUACUAGGCUUGUGUAGGGGUGAGUUAGUGUUCCUUCAGACCUCGUACCCAGCGGGUUCAAGGAAACCCCUUAUUCGCUGGAUCGGGAAGACUCAGAGAGACGGGGUCAUGGCCUAUGGCUGAGUGAUUACACGACGGUGUAAUGUG
rnacentral:lncRNA from 1 species